ACGCUCGACACCUACGGGAGGCAGCAGUGGGGAAUAUUGCACAAUGGGGGAAACCCUGAUGCAGCGACGCCGCGUGAGUGAAGAAGUAUUUCGGUAUGUAAAGCUCUAUCAGCAGGGAANAAAAUGACGGUACCUGAGUAAGAAGCCCCGGCUAACUACGUGCCCGCAGCCGCGGUAAUCUGAGCGGGCUGGCAAGGC
rnacentral:rRNA from 1 species